rnacentral:rRNA from 1 species
GACGAACGCUGGCGGCGUGCCUAAUACAUGCAAGUAGAACGCUGAAGACUUUAGCUUGCUAAAGUUGGAAGAGUUGCGAACGGGUGAGUAACGCGUAGGUAACCUGCCUACUAGCGGGGGAUAACUAUUGGAAACGAUAGCUAAUACCGCAUAACAGCAUUUAACCCAUGUUAGAUGCUUGAAAGGAGCAAUUGCUUCACUAGUAGAUGGACCUGCGUUGUAUUAGCUAGUUGGUGAGGUAACGGCUCACCAAGGCGACGAUACAUAGCCGACCUGAGAGGGUGAUCGGCCACACUGGGACUGAGACACGGCCCAGACUCCUACGGGAGGCAGCAGUAGGGAAUCUUCGGCAAUGGGGGCAACCCUGACCGAGCAACGCCGCGUGAGUGAAGAAGGUUUUCGGAUCGUAAAGCUCUGUUGUAAGAGAAGAACGUGUGUGAGAGUGGAAAGUUCACACAGUGACGGUAACUUACCAGAAAGGGACG